rnacentral:lncRNA from 1 species
GAAUCGGGAUUUUUAAAUGAAGUGGGUUUGAAUUCUCUUGACUGUUUUGUAAAAUCGAGUUACGUCUGUGAUUGAAAGAUUAAAGGGGUGUCUAUAGGAUUGAGUAUGCGGAGUGAAUGAAAUUUAUUGGAUUAAUCUAACAGGACAGUCAGUGGAUACAAGAUCGUAAGUACAAAGAGGUAUUGAAGAUUAACAGUUUGGAUUGUUCGGGGUUCUCUGUAACGUC